UAGGUUCAUGUCGAGUGGAUCCG
rnacentral:siRNA from 1 species